rnacentral:rRNA from 1 species
GACAGAGGAGGCAAGCGUUGUCCGGAUUGACUGGGCGUAAAGCGUCCGCAGGUGGCAUGCCAAGUGGGGUGUGAAAGCCGGUGGCUUAACCGCCGGAGGCCAUCCCAAACUGGCGCGCUGGAGCCGGGCAGAGGGUGACGGAAUUGCCGGUGUAGUGGUGAAAUGCGUAGAGAUCAGGAAGAACAUCGGUGGCGAAGGCGCUCUGCUGGACCAUAACUGACACUCAGGGACGAAAGCUAGGGGAGCGAAUGGG